AAGGAAGCCGCUUCUGGAAUAUCCAGCCGGGUCUUCUGAAAACCAUGCUCUGCAUUCACGGCGACACAUGGAACCUGCGCAAAUGCUGCCAUGACACCUGUACCGGCACCGCGACCACGGGAUGGCAGACGAGGGUGUUGUCGUUUCUGGUCAAUGAAGAAAUUGUACAUAGGUACUUAGACCAUGGUUCAUUUGAAGACCCUGACUGGACUUCAGCAUGUGCCGGGACCCCCAAACCACAGUGAUCAAGGCAGACAGAUUAGCAUUCUCGGCUCUGCGAGUGACCGGUGCUCCACGGCACUGUGGUUUCAUCACGGAGGGAACCUCCAUCCACCUGUUCUCCCC
rnacentral:lncRNA from 1 species